AUUGAACGCUGGCGGCAUGCCUUACACAUGCAAGUCGAACGGCAGCACGGGAGCAAUCCUGGUGGCGAGUGGUGAACGGGUGAGUAAUAUAUCGGAACGUGCCCAGUCGUGGGGGAUAACGCAGCGAAAGCUGUGCUAAUACCGCAUACGAUCUACGGAUGAAAGCGGGGGAUCGCAAGACCUCGCGCGAUUGGAGCGGCCGAUAUCAGAUUAGCUAGUUGGUGAGGUAAAGGCUCACCAAGGCGACGAUCUGUAGCUGGUCUGAGAGGACGACCAGCGACACUGGAACUGAGACACGGUCCAGACUCCUACGGGAGGCAGCAGUGGGGAAUUUUGGACAAUGGGCGCAAGCCUGAUCCAGCAAUGCCGCGUGCAGGAUGAAGGCCUUCGGGUUGUAAACUGCCUUUGUACGGAACGAAACGGUGAGCUCUAAUACAGUUUGCUAAUGACGGUACCGUAAGAAUAAGCACCGGCUAACUACGUGCCAGCAGCCGCCGCGGUAA
rnacentral:rRNA from 1 species